GAAAUGCGAUAAAUAAUGUGAAUUGCAGAAUUCAGUGAAUCAUCGAGUCUUUGAACGCACAUUGCGCCCUCUGGUAUUCCGGAGGGCAUGCCUGUCCGAGCGUCAUUGCUGCCCUCAAGCACGGCUUGUGUGUUGGGCCCCCGUCCCCCCCACCGGGGGGACGGGCCCGAAAGGCAGCGGCGGCACCGCGUCCGGUCCUCGAGCGUAUGGGGCUCUGUCACCCGCUCUUGUAGGCCCGGCCGGCGCCAGCCGACCCCCCUCAAUCUAUUUUUUCAGGUUGACCUCGGAUCAGGUAGGGAUACCCGCUGAACUUAA
rnacentral:misc_RNA from 1 species